GCGGAUGUAGCUCAGUUUGGUAGAGCUCCGGAUUGUGGCUCCGGUGGUCGCGAGUUCGAGCCUCGUCAUUCGCCCCA
rnacentral:tRNA from 1 species